UACGUAGGGCGCAAGCGUUAUCCGGAAUUAUUGGGCGUAAAGAGCUCGUAGGCGGUUUGUCGCGUCUGCCGUGAAAGUCCGGGGCUCAACUCCGGAUCUGCGGUGGGUACGGGUAGACUAGAGUGAUGUAGGGGAGACUGGAAUUCCUGGUGUAGCGGUGAAAUGCGCAGAUAUCAGGAGGAACACCGAUGGCGAAGGCAGGUCUCUGGGCAUUAACUGACGCUGAGGAGCGAAAGCAUGGGGAGCGAACAGG
rnacentral:rRNA from 1 species